AGCAAGCUCAACUCACGAUGUUACUUGUAUAACACCCUGCUCCCUUCUGUCCCUCUCCUGUGUCCCGGGGCUGCCACGGACGGUAGUAGACAGGAUAACCUGGUGACCCAUCGUGUAGGGGAGGCAGUUUUUAGCAGCACAAGCGGCAAGACAAGAGUGAACCAGCAGUGCAAGGCAAGGCACCAUGACCUGCAGCCUUCACCACACCCCUCCUUCACUUACUCAAGGCUCAGACGUCAACACGGAAGCAACAGAAGGAGAAACAAAGGAGGAGGA